rnacentral:rRNA from 1 species
CAUGCAAGUCGAGCGAUGAAAUUUCGACAGAUCCCUUCGGGGUGAAGAUGAAAUGGAUUAGCGGCGGACGGGUGAGUAACACGUGAGUAACCUGCCUUUGACAUUGGGAUAGCCCCGGGAAACUGGGAUUAAUACCAAAUGACACUAACUGAUCACAUGAUCAAUUAGUCAAAGAAAUUCGGUCAAAGAUGGACUCGCGGCUGAUUAGCUAGUUGGUGAGGUAACGGCCCACCAAGGCGACGAUCAGUAGCCGGCCUGAGAGGGUGAUCGGCCACAUUGGAACUGAGACACGGUCCAAACUCCUACGGGAGGCAGCAGUGGGGAAUAUUGCACAAUGGGGGAAACCCUGAUGCAGCGACGCCGCGUGAGCGAAGAAGGCCUUCGGGUCGUAAAGCUCUUUUAUGAGGGAAGAUAAUGACGGUACCUCAAGAAAAAGCCCCGGCUAACUACGUGCCAGCAGCCGCGGUAAUACGUAGGGGGCUAGCGUUGUCCGGAAUCACUGGGCGUAAAGGGUUCGCAGGCGGAAUAACAAGUCAGAUGUGAAAGGCAUGGGCUCAACCCAUGUAAGCAUUUGAAACUGUAAUUCUUGAGAAGUGGAGAGGUAAGUGGAAUUCCUAGUGUAGCGGUGAAAUGCGUAGAUAUUAGGAGGAAUACCUGUGGCGAAGGCGACUUACUGGACACAAAUCUGACGCUGAGGAACGAAAGCGUGGGUAGCAA